AUUCGAUGCUACGCGAAAAACCUCACCAGGGCUUGACAUGUAUGAAGUAGUGAACUGAAAGGGGAACGACCCGUAAAAUCGGGAACUUACACAGGUGCUGCAUGGCUGUCGUCAGCUCGUGUCGUGAGAUGUUGGGUUAAGUCCCGCAACGAGCGCAACCAUUGCCCUAUGUUGCCACCCUCAAAAUCUGCUUGCAGAGAAUGAGGCGCACUCUUAGGGGACUGCCCGGGAUAACCGGGAGGAAGGUGGAGAUGACGUCAAGUCAGUACGGCCUUUAUGCCCUGGGCUACACACGUGUUACAAUGGCUGGUACAAAGGGUUGCCAACCCGCGAGGGGGAGCUAAUCUCAAAAAGCCAGUCUCAGUUCGGAUUGGAGUCUGCAAUUCGACUCCAUGAAGCCGGAAUCGCUAGUAAUGGGAGAUCAGCACGCUCCCGUGAAUACGUUCCCGGGUCUUGUACACACCGCCCGUCAAGCGAUGAAAGCUGGAAGUACCCGAAGUCCUAUGUAGAUAGGCCGAAGGUAAAGCCAGUGAUUGGCGCUAAGUCGUAACAAGGUAGCCGUACGGGAACGUGCGGCUGGAUCACCUCCUUUCU
rnacentral:rRNA from 1 species